AGCCGGGCGGUAAGCACAAAGCGAACUAUUCUUUCGCCUUUUACUAAAGAAUACCGUGUGCUUGCCGCACUCACCGGCAUACGCCUAUUUUUGGAGUAGUUUCUUUUUAUUUAGAAACU